CGCCGCCGCCACUGUCAUCUACACCAGCAUCUUGUAUUUUGAAUUUAGACAAAAAAAUAUGAGAAAUUGGCAAUGAUCUUGUUGAUGCAGGUGGAUGGCAGCAACCUUGGUUGAUUUCUAUAUCAAUAUCAUGUGGAUAAUCUACACUGGAUUUCCUCACUUGUUUGGAUGGUUUUGCUUAUAUGCUUUGGAAGCAUCAGCACAUGUUUGUACGUCGUUUUGCAGUUCCGAAAGCUCACUCCUCAUGAAUCACAGUUAGAUCCCAUCUACUUUGUUUUGCUCAGAAAUAAGAAAAGGUAAGUUUGUGUUUGAUGAAAUCCUGUGUGUGAUAGGUUUGGGUGGCAUUAUGGAUCAUUUUGUUGAUAUGCUUCGGAAGGUACGAGGCUUCUCCAGUUAGGGUUAGGUGUCGGAACGGUUAUAAAUCAA